rnacentral:other from 6 species
AUUACCCUGCUGUGCCCGUGAUGACUAAUGAAGUUUUGAGCCAACACUUUAAAAAAAAGGGAUCGAUCUCUAAAUGUUGCAUGUAAGCCUAAGGUAGGUCUCCUUUCCUUGGAAUGGAGACAAAUAUCUAACGUUUUCUAAUUUGGUUAACGCGGAAACAUAAAGCAUUUAGGUAGAUGCCCACUUGUCUGAGGACAGGUAUCAAAACCUAAAGCACACGACAUAGCGGGGUUUUA